rnacentral:rRNA from 1 species
AACGAACGCUGGCGGCAGGCCUAACACAUGCAAGUCGAGCGCACCUUCGGGUGAGCGGCGGACGGGUGAGUAACGCGUGGGAAUAUGCCCUUCUCUACGGAAUAGUCUCGGGAAACUGGGGGUAAUAUCGUAUACGCCCUCCGGGGGAAAGAUUUAUCGGGGAAGGAUUAGCCCGCGUUGGAUUAGGUAGUUGGUGGGGUAAUGGCCUACCAAGCCUACGAUCCAUAGCUGGUUUGAGAGGAUGAUCAGCCACACUGGGACUGAGACACGGCCCAGACUCCUACGGGAGGCAGCAGUGGGGAAUCUUAGACAAUGGGGGCAACCCUGAUCUAGCCAUGCCGCGUGAGUGAUGAAGGCCUUAGGGUUGUAAAGCUCUUUCAGCUGGGAAGAUAAUGACUGUACCAGCAGGAGAAGCCCCGGCUAACUCCGUGCCAGCCGCCGCCGUAAAAC